GACGAACGCUGGCGGCGUGCUUAACACAUGCAAGUCGAACGGAAAGGCCCUGCUUUUGUGGGGUUCUCGAGUGGCGAACGGGUGAGUAACACGUGAGUAACCUGCCCUUGACUUUGGGAUAACUUCAGGAAACUGGGGCUACUACCGGAUAGGAGCUCCUGCUGCAUGGUGGGGGUUGGAAAGUUUCGGCGGUUGGGGAUGGACUCGCGGCUUAUCAGCUUGUUGGUGGGGUAGUGGCUUACCAAGGCUUUGACGGGUAGCCGGCCUGAGAGGGUGACCGGCGACAUGGGGACUGAGAUACGGCGCAGACGCGUACGGGAGGCAGCAGUGGGGAAUAUUGCACAAUGGGAGGAAGCCGGAUGCAGCAACGCCGCGUGCGGGAUGACGGCCUUCGGGUUGUAAACCGCUUUCGCCUGUGACGAAGCGUGAGUGACGGUAAUGGGUAAAGAAGCACCGGCUAACUACGUG
rnacentral:rRNA from 1 species